GCAAGUCGAGGGGUAACAGGGAGUGCUUGCACAAAGAUGACGACCGGCGCACGGGUGCGUAACGCGUAUAGAAUCUACCUUUUACUGGGGGAUAGCCUUUGGAAACGAAGAUUAAUACCCCAUAGUAUUAUAGACUGGCAUCGGUUUAUAAUUAAAGUUUCGGCGGUAAAAGAUGACUAUGCGUUCUAUUAGUUAGUUGGUAAGGUAACGGCUUACCAAGACAGCGAUAGAUAGGGGUCCUGAGAGGGAGAUC
rnacentral:rRNA from 1 species